UACAGAGGGGGCAAGCGUUGUUCGGAAUUACUGGGCGUAAAGGGCGCGUAGGCGGCCCGCUAAGUCGAACGUGAAAUCCCCGAGCUCAACUCGGGAACUGCGUCCGAUACUGGCGGGCUUGAAUCCGGGAGAGGGAUGCGGAAUUCCAGGUGUAGCGGUGAAAUGCGUAGAUAUCUGGAGGAACACCGGUGGCGAAGGCGGCAUCCUGGACCGGCAUUGACGUUGAGGCGCGAAAGCUAGGGGAGCAAACGGG
rnacentral:rRNA from 1 species